UGUGAGGAGGCAGGUGGGAAAGGAACCGAGGAAGAUGACUAGAGAGCUGACGGUUACAGGAGGACGAGGUUUGGGUUAGGCUUUGAGGGAAAGUUUGAUUUCACAAGCCGGGAAGCUGGAGCGUGGGAGGAGACCCCUGGACCGCACCCACAAGAAUCACCUUCACAGCAGGAUGGGCCAGCUGAUGGUCUGCCACUGUUUGGAGGAGGCCUGGAUGCAGGAAAAGGAAUGCAUGGGCAUUUAUGUGAAGCGCUUCCAUUUUGGUGGUCUCCGAGAUUUACAAGAUGUGAGAUAAAAAGCAAAGAAAGCAAUUCCUCUGACUCCUUCGGCUGAAGCCACACAUUCUCCUGGGAUCAUGAGAAUCAGAGCUGUGAUGACGAUGGAGGUACCUGGAAGAGAGCAGGCACACUGGAGGCAUGCUGUACUUAUAAGACCCCCCACCUUCCAUGUCUGUCCUGCUCGUUCAAGCACAAUUGCUCAAUGACUGUCCCCUCAUGAUCCUGACCAGGAACACUGCUAUCCUGGAGGCAGGGGAAAGCUGGGACUCAGUGAGCCCAAGCUGCCUGCUCACAGCCUCUUACAUGUCUAGGACCCAAGCCCCACUGAAGGGCCCUUCCCAGGAGGCCAUCAAAACAAAGACGACAGCACCUAAAGCAACGCUCCCAUGAGCUGCUGGAGUUCCGAACACGGCUUACCAUGUUUCAUAGGAAAGUUUCUUCUGUAAUGCAAGUUUGAGUAACACAACAGCCUCUCCCACCUCACACGGCUGCAGUUAUGUUAAUAACUCAGUGAUCUUUUAAACUAUUGGGUUGACCCACUGCUAUUCCUGCCCAAACAAAAGAGAGAAAGAGAGAGAAAAAGAAAAUACACAUGCAAUUAUUACCCAAACUCAGGAGAAAGGCGGCAACUGCGUUUCUCUCUGAGUUAGCAGAAUUUCUGGGUCAUGAUUUUUGUGGUCAGAGGGCAGACAGGGCCUCUGCAGGGCUGGUCAAGCACUUUUCUGUGCCCUUGACUUCAAUGAGAGAGAAAAAUGCAGCAAGGACCAAGAAGAGGUAUGGUCAGAUGCAGACGCUCGACACUGGGAUGGCGUUUACAGCUGAAAAGGCCCAGCGCAAGAAAAUGAGGCGUGGGGUCCAGCAUGUGUAGCUGGGAGGAAGUGACAGCCCCCCUCAGGCCCUCUGUAAAAGGAGUCCCUGUGGUCCUGGCACAGUCUGAAAGCAAGUGUCUGUGCCUUUCUUUCCUGUGUCUCACCCAGGAGCAUUCCCAC